rnacentral:piRNA from 1 species
UGAUAGCUGGAAAAAGUAUUU